rnacentral:lncRNA from 9 species
AUGUCUUUGAAGCAAGAGUUUGUAUUUCCUUGCAUAUUGUUUGUACUUCAUACCUGUUUUUUUGAGUUUGUAAAUUACUUAAGGUGGGUAAGAGUAGGAAUUUUACACAUUUUUUAUUCUUUAUCAGUGGAAUUAUUAGAAAACAUUGUCUUUAUAGUGGAUUUUUUUUUAAAUACCAGUCCUGGCAUGCAUGUGAAAGAAGUAUGGAUAAAUGAAAGUGAAAAGUGGACAUCAAAAGAACCCAUGAUUACACCAAUAUUUGAGAAGACCAAUUCACUGACUGGUGGUUUACUACACGUGAAUGAUGACAGCAACUUAAGUGAAAGAGCUCAGGAUGAUGCGUUUUACAGGGAAGAAAACAUCAUUAGUAUUGUGAAGUAUGGAAUUCUUAGAACAAAUACAAUGCACCUUAAAACAAGAAGAAACGAAGAAAUGCUAAUAUGUUGUAUGAAGAAAUUAGGAUGCAGUUAA